rnacentral:rRNA from 1 species
AGCAGCCGCGGUAAUUCCAGCUCCAAUAGCGUAUAUUAAAGUUGUUGCAGUUAAAAAGCUCGUAGUUGAACUUCGGGAUCAAUGAGUUGGUCGUGCCCUUGGUAUGAACUGGCUUUAUUGGUUCUCACCUUCUAAUGAACCAUAAUGUCAUUCAUUUGAUGUUUUGGGGAAUUAGGACUGUUACCUUGAAAAAUUAGAGUGUUUAAAGCAGGCUCACGCUUGAAUACAUUAGCAUGGAAUAAUGAAAUAGGACAUCGCAUUCUAUUUUGUUGGUUUCUAGGAUCGAUGUAAUGAUUAAUAGGGAUAGUUGGGGGCAUUAGUAUUCAAUUGUCAGAGGUGAAAUUCUUGGAUUUAUUGAAGACUAACUACUGCGAAAGCAUUUGCCAAGGAU